UGCAAGUCAAUGGGUAUUUGUCUAAACCCAUGGGCGAAAUGAAAGUGAAAUAAGUCGGAGCCUCGUGCUCCUUCUAGGGCUGAUCCCUGAUCCAAGUCGUGGGUGCUAAAGGUCACGCAGAAGUGUACUGAGGUGAGCUCUCCUCUCCCUCUGGUAUAACCUGUUGGCACGAACCACCUGUCUUGUGGACGAACACGACGCGUUGGAUCCACGCUCAUGCAAAUGGGGGGGCGCAAGCCCGGGACGUGUCAAGACGCGGCCGCCUUUACUUCGCCUCCGUGCGUUGUUUUGUGCGGUCUGUAGUCGACAUGUACCUUGAGCAGACAUGUUAGUACCCGAAAGAUGGUGAACUAUGCCUGGCCAGGAUGAAGCCAGAGGAAACUCUGGUGGAGGUCCGAAGCAAUUCUGACGUGCAAAUCGAUUGUCAGAGCUGGGCAUAGGGGCGAAAGACUAAUCGAACCAUCUAGUAGCUGGUUCCCUCCGAAGUUUCCCUCAGGAUAGCUGGCACUCAUUACAAUGAUUAACAUCCGGUAAAGCGAAUGAUUAGAGGUUUUGGGGACGGAACGUCCUCAACCUAUUCUCAAACUUUAAAUGGGUGAGAAGCCGAGCUUGCUUAAUAAAACUGUGAAGCUUCGGUGUUUAAUCUUGAGAGCCUAKUGGGCCAUUUUU
rnacentral:rRNA from 1 species